rnacentral:tRNA from 1 species
AAAAAUUUAGUUAAAUUAUAACAUUAGUCCGUCACACUAAAAUUAUCAUUAUGAUGGUUUUUA